GGGUCAGUAGGUUGGUCGUGCCACCGGUACGUACUGGUCUCACUGAUUCCUCCUUCCUGAAGACCCGUAAUGCCAUUAACUUGGUGUUGCGGGGAAACAGGACUGUUACUUUGAAAAAAUUAGAGUGUUUAAAGCAAGCUAACGCUUGAAUACAUUAGCAUGGAAUAAUGAAAUAGGACGAUCGAUCCUAUUUUGUUGGUUUCUAGGAUUGACGUA
rnacentral:rRNA from 1 species